rnacentral:miRNA from 1 species
AAAAAAGUUUGUCUGGGUUUU